GACACAGCAUGGGCAUGAGGGCACCCACUCAGCUCCUGGGGCUCCUGCUGCUCUGGCUUUCAGGUGCCAGAUGUGACAUCCAGAUGACCCAGUCUCCAUUAUCCCUCUCAGCAUCUCUAGGAGACAGAGUCACCAUCACUUGCCGGGCGAGUCAGGACAUUAGCAAUUAUUUACACUGGUAUCAGCAGAAACCAGGGAAUCCUCCUAAACCCCUGAUCUAUAGGGCAUCUAGCUUGCAAUCUGGGGUCCCAUCGAGGUUCAGUGGUAGUGGGUCUGGGACAGAUUUCACUCUCACCAUUAACACCCUGCAGUCUGAAGAUGCUGCUGUUUAUUUUUGUCAACAUGGUUACGGUACUCCUCCCACAGUAUUACAAGCCAUAACAUAA